UUUUUGUUAAUGUUCUAACAUUUACUUUUUAGAUUUUGCGAUACUACUCAGAUUGAGAGAGCGGAAUGCUGCUUAGCUAAACAAGCUGCACACGGUGAACCUAGUUCUACUGAAGUUGAAGGAACACUGGAGCCAACCCUAGAACCAUCACGAAAGUCAUGUCGGCUGUCAUCUGAAACUUCUCUGUCACAGCUACGGCGCAACCCACAUGUCCUGCCAGUCAGAUGUGUCAUCUGUAAAAAGGAAAAAUGGAUAGCCAACAGCCACACGUGUAAACGUUCAAGGGAAAGCCUAUCAAACUGCGAGUACAAGUCAAGGGGUUUGUUGCUCAAAGCUGCAGAGAUCCUAAAUGAUGAACAAAUUUUGGUGGACAUCAAAGGAAAAGACAUGGUUGUGAUCGAGGUCAGGUACCAUCGCAGCUGUUACAAGGACUACAUGUACAUCAAGUUCAGAUUAUGUCAACAAGUUCAAGUCUGCCGCUUGACCCUGACAGUGAAAAUGCCAUCCAGCAUACAUUCAGUGCUUUCUGCAAAAAGCA